AACGAACGCUGGCGGCAUGCCUAACACAUGCAAGUCGAACGAGACCUUCGGGUCUAUUGGCGCACGGGUGCGUAACGCGUGGGAACCUGCCCUUAGGUUCGGAAUAACUUCCCGAAAGGGGUGCUAAUACCGGAUAAUGUCUUCGGACCAAAGAUUUAUCGCCUUUGGAUGGGCCCGCGUUGGAUUAGCUAGUUGGUAGGGUAAAAGCCUACCAAGUCGACGAUCCAUAGCUGGUCUGAGAGGAUGAUCAGCCACACUGGGACUGAGACACGGCCCAGACUCCUACGGGAGGCAGCAGUGGGGAAUAUUGGACAAUGGGCGAAAGCCUGAUCCAGCAAUGCCGCGUGAGUGAUGAAGGCCUUAGGGUUGUAAAGCUCUUUUACCCGGGAUGAUAAUGACAGUACCGGGAGAAUAAGCUCCGGCUAACUCCGUG
rnacentral:rRNA from 1 species